ACUGCGAGCGCUGCCCGCGCCGCUCCCUCGCCGGGCGGGCGCGGGGCCGCCCUUGGCCGCGGGAAGAGCGAGCAUCGGAGCAGCGCCCCGUCCUCGGGGCCCCCGGUGCCGGCCAGCGGGCUGCUCUUCGCCAGAUUUGGAUUAUGGUGGUUUUCUAACCCAGCCACAGUUCUGCAGUAUAGAACAGGUUCUGGCAUACACACUGUGCCCUAAAGAAAGUUCUGGCUGUAGGUAGAAUGCCAUGAACAAUUCCUUAUUGUCUGAGUGGCUUCAGAGGAAACGUUCAUGAGUUAUUUUCUCAGAUGCAGGUAGACUGUCUUCAAAUAAUGUCAAGUUUCUGUGCUCCUUCUGUCUAAAUUUGAGUUUCCCCAGCCUGCCUGGUUAGGUGUUCCUCAACCAGACGCCAGGAGGAGACGGCAGAGAGAGCCCGGGCUCCCGCAGGGCUGAGCAGCGAGUCAGGGGCUCUACGCCUCAGGGCUCUGGCCUGUGCUGCAAACUCCUCUAACUUCUGCCUUGGAACCAGUGGAGGAGCACCUGGAGCACACCUCGGUGUUCCAAGGACAGAGACUCCCUGACUCACCGUGGCAGACAGGCAGGAGGAGGCCCAGAAGGGAGGGAGCCAGGUGAGAGCAAAGUGCCCCUCCCGCAGCCUGGCAGAGGGGCUGUCAGGGUGGGCAGCACAGGUGCCAUGCCCGGGGCCACUGUCU